CCCUUAGAUGUUCUGGGCAGCACGCGCGCUACAAUGGUCUUCGCAAACGGAUGCAUUCUCGAAGGAGAAUGCCAAUCUUGGAAUCUAUGCCUUGGUCGGGACAGUUGCUUGCAAUUUUUCGACUCGAACCAGGAAUUCCUUGUAAUCGUGAUUCAUCACAUCACGAUGAAUACGUCCCUGCCCUUUGUACACACCGCCCGUCGCUCGUACCGAUCGAAGAGUUAGGUGAAUUGUUUUGAUCGAUAAGAUUUGACUAUGGUCAACUCUCGUUGUGAAAUUCUGUGAAUCUGACUGUUUAGAGGAAGGAAAAGUCGUAACA
rnacentral:rRNA from 1 species